rnacentral:sRNA from 1 species
CACUUUCCAUGUUCACAUGAUCAAACGGUUAAGCUCAACUUGGAAUCUAAUUGUAACGCCCGUGAACCGGAAAAUCGGUUAAGAUUUGCUUUUAAAUCAUCCGGUUUAAUUAGUUGGGUUAAUUUGAAACCCUAGAGUGUGCCUAUGAAAGAAGGAAACUCGAAAUUAGGGCUUUAGUUAGCCACUUUUCGUUUUAUAAAGGAGAAAAAAAGAGAAAAGGAUAAGGAGCAGAAUUGUUAGGGUUUGGGAGAAAUCAGUUUUGUCAUAUCAAAUCGUGGUAAAAGGUAACGACAUUUAGUAGAGUUAUUCCCAAGUCCUUUAUCGUUAUUCUCCAGUUUACAGAAAUGGAUUUGAAUUAAAAUUGGUUGAGUUAUUCGCAGUUUCGUGAGACACGUUUUCUCAGACGCGAAUUAGGACCAGCGGAGAUUGAAACUGAGAUCGUGGUCUCGUCUGUUUUCCGAUCGGCACGAUAUUUUGUGGAUAGCUUGGUGACGUCUGCAGCUAGAAUUUCACCGGAGCGAUUGAAUAGUUAACGGUUAGCUUGUAUUUUAGGGUUUUGUCUUUGAGACUGCUUGUUUCUGGUUUUUCCUGUCCAGUUUGCUUCAAGGUUGCUUUUGGUUGUGGACUUGUUGUAGGACGUUUCUGGACUGUUUCAGACGCAAGGAGAGUCUCUCCUGGGUUUAAUUGCUAUUAGAAUCAAUUUGUUAAGGUGAGUGCGUGACCAUGAGCUUAUCUGAGCGAUUGGGUUGUGUGAUUUGUUUUGUGUGAUGAUAUGUAGGUGUGGUGAAUGUGUUUUAGGUGAAUUGUUCAAUGACUGGUCGUGUGAAUGUGUUUAGGUGAAUUGUUUUAUGAUAAUAUUUACGCAUCUCAUUGUGUUGUUGAUGCAGGUAAAGAUAAAGUGUGAUCGUGGAAUCAUGGCAAGGAAAAGAGGAUGAUUUAGUAACUCGUUUGUUUUAUUUUUGGUGUUUUUGGUUAUUGGAACCCGGUUAGGAUUGUCAGUUAUUCUUGGUUUUGUUGGUCGAAUUAUUUAUUUAUUCAUAAAAUAAUAUUUUUGUCUUGCGGUUUAAUUAUUAUGUUAUUGGUUGGUUUAAUUAGAUAUUUAUGGGAAUAUUUAAUUAUAUUUUU